GACUGGACGACCAGAGACUACGACUACAACACACUUCACUGAUCCACAGAUGUUACUGAUGGUGCUAGGACCUGGUUCAGCUAUUGUGAGAUUUGAGCUGUCGCCAAACAUCUCUGCAUAUGGGACUUCACCCACAACCACAAUGGCAUAGGAGAAUUUGUUGGACUUUACGAAGUUCGCAUCAGGAUUCUGCUGGUACACUACUUGUGUAGAAGGAUCAACAGUUUUCUUGAUAGCAGUUAAAAUGGUGGUCCCUGUCAAAUUUGAAACGCGUAUCAGUUCCCCUCUUAUCUAUCAUAUCAGAAAAACACUGUGUUGAUUUAAUCAGCAGAAAGACUGGAACCUUUAUUUAUAGGACUAACAAAAACAACAGCAGACUUAUUUGGUAACAGGGAACCUCAGAAAUGAAAGAAUGCUUUGGUCAGUUUGUUUUAGCACUUACAAUAACUAGGCGUUGAAAUGGUUCUUAUUUUUGCUUCUCAUUUUUUAAUCUGAAGCAAAAUAAGAAUGUCUAAAAAAGAGGAGGGAUCACAUCAGAAAAUGCUAAAAGGGGGGAAUUUGGAUGGUUGCAGAGUAACAGCACUGAAACAGGAAAAUCCAACUGUAAUAAUUUGAUCAUUAGUGCAUGUUGUCACUAUUCAAACACUUGAGAUGGCAGGCAAAAUAGAAGAAGUUUUUGCAUCAUGUUGCAAUAACAAUGUUGCCAAUACUACACACAAUAUAAGAAAAGUUACCAAUAGUAAGAUCGUUGCCAGCAACUCCCUGCCAUUCAAUUGUCCAGCCUCCACAUUGGUAACCCAAGUUGUCUGCAUGAGUUCCGGCAACAAGUAUUUUUGGUGCUUUCUUUGGAAGAGGAAGUAGUGGCUGACUAGGCGUCUUGCCAUUCUUCAAGAGCACGAGUGAUUUCCUAACUGCUUCCCUUGCUAAUUCUCUAUGCUCCUACAGAAAUACAAUAAAUCAGGUUAAGUCUAGCGCAAACAAGGCAGUGAAAGAUUUUUGGAAUUACACGUUGAUAUUUUAUUUACCUGGCUACCCAGUUGGUUUGCCAAGCUAGGGUCCGACAUUGGGUUCUCGAAGAGACCCAUAACAAAUUUUACUCUCAAUAUCCGCUUCACAGCAUCAUCAAUUCUGCUCAUGGGAAUGAUAUUGGCUUUCACUUGAGAAGUCAAAGUAUCGAUAAACUCUCUAUAAUUCUCUGGGACCAUAAUCUGAAGUGUACACAAAAUAAUCAUGGUGAAUAAAAAGCGUUGUAACAUCAACCAUCAUCAUUUCUUAGAUAUAUUUACAAGGUAAGUUGAUCUAAAGAUCCAAGUACAAAUUUAUAAGACUAACCAUGUCGAUUCCUGCCAUAAUUCCAGCUUGAACUGAAUAAGAGUAGUUAGCAUGAGGUGGAUCAGUAAUCCGGUCAAUCCCUUGCCAAUCUGAAAUGACGAAACCCUGAAACACAAAAACCAAAAGAGGUGGUUAUAUACUGCAAUAUAUCCAACUUGACUUUAACUUGGCGGAGUUUUACAAUGAAGUGAAUUGAUCAAACUUACCCUGAACUUGAGCUUGUCCUUAAGGAAGCCAGUGACUAGAUCUCGGUUGGCGUGCAUCUUUCUUCCGUUCCAGCUUGAGUAAGACACCAUAACCGUUGCAACACCCUUUCUGAGUGAGUCAUAAUAUGCAGGCAUGUGGAUGCUAAAUAAACUGUUUGAGCUGAUUACUGUGUUACUUUCAUCAACGCCGUGCAACGUGCCACCAUCUCCCACAAAGUGCUUAGCACAGGCCGCAACCUUAGUCCUUAACCAUAUGAAAGUUAACAAGGAACAACAUCAGCGUUGAUAAUUCUUUCUCAAACAAAGAAUUAUAGGUAAUUCACAAGAAUUUGCUAGUACAAAUCAUUUAUCGGCAAGGAAAUAAUGAAGAUCUAAAAAGGGAUAGAGAUUCUUACUUUCCUCCGACAUAAGGAACACCAUUCUUUGAUUUAGCAGGUAAAUCUCCUUGCAGGCCAGGAAUGAUCUCUGUCAUGCUUCGAACGAUCCUAUGAUCUUCACUGUAACUCUCAUAACAACGGCCCCAUCUAGGAUUUCUACAUACCUACCAUAAGACAAUUAUUCAGACAUCUAAAUAUAUAGAAACAACAUAGGCACAAAGUGUAAUCAUAUCAACUGACUGCAAUGCAGGGAGCGAAGGCAUAUGGAAUUCCUGUAGCUCUAACUUCAAGUGCAGUUGCAGCCCCAAUACGCUUCACAAGAUCAGGAUCCCUGCAUAAAAUUAGCAAAAUCUUGUUUAGGACUAGAUGAAAAGGGAAGGAUUUUAAGGGUAGAAACAAAACCCAAAAUUCAUAAAAUUGCUAGCCAUAAUUUAGGUGCAUAUCUUUUAGCUUGAAUACUUCCAUGCUACCUUGGUAAACUUGAUAAACUGAAUUGAAAUUCUUUUGCUUGCAUUUGCGGAGAAAGUAAAGAAAAGAUCCUAACUUUAAGGGAAAGAGUACAGUUUGACAUUUAGAUUUCAAAUGAUUAACAAGUAGAAAAUUAUUUACAUGAAUAGAAUCUCUACGGAUAUCCUUAACACUACCAACCAAUACUUUAAAUUGUGAUACACUAUAGUCCUAAGGAAAGCAGAUUCAUUUCAAACAUUGCUUUAUAGUGUAUAUAAUACUUGCCUGGUAACACCAAGCCCAACAUUGUGAGGAAAGAUUGUAGCCCCAUAGACAUUGUUGUGACCAUGAACGGCAUCGAUUCCAUAAAUCAUGGGAAUACCAAGACGGGUCGAAAGAGAACCCUUUUGAAUCUCAUCUACCAUAUUGGUCCAAACCUGAGCAGAGGCCUUAGGUGCAGGGACACUUCCUCCACCACUCAAUACACUCCCUGCAAGAAAUACAAGACAAUACUGAGUAAAAAGAAUCCCUUUCACCUCUUAUGUUUAAAUUGGUACUACAAAAGUUCACUCACUUUUAGAAUUAUGGCACAGUGAUCUAGCAAUAUCUUUUUCUCUUAAAAGUAACACAACAAUAAGUAGCCAAAUAUACACAUACUAAUAUAUGUGUAUUUCCAAAAACUAAAUGCACAAAGUUCUAGUAUGAAGUGAAAAAAAGUACUCAAGAAUGGCCAAUCAAUCUUGAAAUACCAAUGAAAUUUUGCUUCACAACAUCAGCUGUGACAACUUUCCUCUAUUAAUGCCUAAAUAGUACAAAAGUUUCACUUACUUUUAGUCUUAUGGCACAGUGAUCUAGCAAUAUCUUUUUCUCUUAAAAGUAACACAACACUGAGUUGCCAAAUAUACACAUACUAAUAGAUAUGCCUUUAGUCUUAUGGCACAGAUCUAGCCAAAUAUACACAUAGCUAUAGAUAUGCCUUUUUCAAGAUCCAAAUGCACAAAGUUCUAGUAUGAUGCAAAAACAAGUACUUAUUCAAGAAUGACCAUCUCAAUCUAGAGGAUAAUAAAUAUUUCAAACAUACCAAUGAAGUUUUGCUUCAUAACAUCAGCAGUGGCAACUUUUCUCUCAAUCUGAGUCAUCUGACCAAUCUUCUCCUCAAGUGUCAUCCUUUUCAUCAAAUCCUUGAUUCUAGCUCCUACUGGCUGUUUUGGGUCCUUGUAUUUCACAUAUUCUCCUUCUGCUACCACUGCCCAUAGACAUAACACCACAAAACCCAUCAUGGGUAUUGACAUUCUCCCCAUUUUUCCAAUUUUUUACACCCCCUCAAUGGCCUU
rnacentral:lncRNA from 1 species